UACAGAGGUCCCAAGCGUUGUUCGGAUUCAUUGGGCGUAAAGGGUGCGUAGGCGACGCGGUAAGUCGGGUGUGAAAUCUCGGAGCUUAACUCCGAAACUGCAUUCGAUACUGCCGUGCUUGAGGACUGGAGAGGAGACUGGAAUUUACGGUGUAGCGGUGAAAUGCGUAGAUAUCUGGAGGAACACCGGUGGCGAAGGCGGCAUCCUGGACCGAUACUGACGCUGAGGAGCGAAAGCCAGGGGAGCAAACGGG
rnacentral:rRNA from 1 species